CUGUGGGAUCCGGGCUACUGCCGCAGUGGGCUGUCAGUUGUUGGUGUGCUCCAGAAUGCUUCAGUUCUGCUCUGCAAGGAUCUAUAAUAACUGAUUGGUGUGCCCAUUUAAUAAAAGAAUAUGGAAACUGAACAGCCAGAAGAAACCUUCCCUAACACUAAAACCAAUGGUGAAUUUGGUAAACGACCUGCAGAAGAUAUGGAAGAGGAACAAGCAUUUAAAAGAUCUAGAAACACUGAUGAGAUGGUUGAAUUACACAUUCUGCUUCAGAGCAAGAAUGCUGGGGCAGUGAUUGGAAAAGGAGGCAAGAAUAUUAAGGCUCUCCAUACAGAAUACAGUGCCAAUGUUUCAGUCCCAGACAGCAGUGGCCCCAAGCGCAUAUUGAGUAUCAGUGCUGAUAUUGAAACAAUUGGAGAAAUUCUGAAGAAAAUCAUCCUUACCUUGGAAGAGGGCUUGCAGUUGCCAUCACCCAUUGCAACCAGCCAGCUCCUGCUAGAAUCUGAUGCUGUGGAAUGCUUAAAUUACCAGUACUAUAAAGGAAGUGACUUUCCAAGUUGAGGCUGUUGAUUCAUCAGAGUCUAGCAGGAGAAAUUAUUGGGGUCAAAGGUGCUAAAAUCAAAGAAGUUCGAGAAAACACUCAAACCACCAUCAAGCUUUUCCAGGAAUGCUGUCCUUAUUCCACUGACAGAGUUGUUCUUAUUGGAGGAAAAUCCAAUAGGGUUGUAGAGUGCAUAAAGAUCAUCCUUGAUCUUAUAUCUGAGUCUCCCAUCAAAGGACGUGCACAGCCUUAUGGUCCCAAUUUUUACGAUGAAACCUAUGAUUAUGGUGAUUUUACAAUGAUGUUUGAUGACCGCCGUGGACGCCCAGUGGGAUUUCCCAUGGGGGGAAGAGGUGGUUUUGACAGAAUGCCUCCUGGUGGGGGUGGGCGUCUGAUGCCUCCAUCUAGAAGAGAUUAUGAUGAUAUGAGCCCUCAUCGAGGACCACCUCCCCCUCCUCCUGGACUAGGCGGCUGGGGUGGUAGCAGAGCUCGGAAUUUUCUUCUUCCUCCACCACCACCACCUAGAGGGGGAGACCUCAUGGCCUGACAGAAGAGGGAGACCUGGAGACCGUCAAGUCGGCAUGAUUGGUUUCAGUGCUGAUGAAACUUGGGACUCUGCAAUAGAUACAUGGAGCCCAUCGGAAUGGCAGAUGGCUUAUGAACCACAGGGUGGCUCUGGAUAUGAGUAUUCCUGUGCAGGCGGUCGUGGCUCCUAUGGUGAUCUUGGUGGACCUGUUAUUACUACACAAGUAACUAUUCCCAAAGAUUUGGCUGGAUUUAUUAUUGGCAAAGGUGGUCAGCAGAUUAAACAAAUCCAUCUUGAGUCCGGAGCUUCAAUCAAAAUUGAUGAGCCUUUAGAAGGAUCCGAAGAUCGGAUCAUUACCAUUACGGGAACACAGGACCAGAUACAGAAUUCACAGUAUUUGCUGCAGAACAGUGUGAAGCAAUAUGCAGAUGUUGAAGGAUUCUAAUGCAAGGUAUUUUUUUCUUUUUUAUAGUAUGAAGCAGUAUUCUGGAAAGUUUUUCUAAGACUAAUGAAGAACUGAAGGAGUCCUGCAUCUUUUUUUUUUUAAUCUGCUUCUGUUUAAAAAGCCAACAUUCCUCUGCUUCAUAGGUGUUCUGCAUUUGAGGUGUAGUGAAAUCUUUGCUGUUCACCAGAUGUAAUGUUUUAGCU